rnacentral:rRNA from 1 species
AAUACGUUCCCGGGUCUUGUACACACCGCCCGUCACACCACGAAAGCCCAUUGCAACAGAAGUACCUUCUUCGGAGGGUCCGAAGUUGUGAUUGGUGAUUGGGGUG